AUCAACUUUCGAUGGUAGGAUAGAGGCCUACCAUGGUGGUAACGGGUAACGGGGUGUUAGGGCACGACACCGGAGAGGGGGCCUGAGAAACGGCUACCACAUCCAAGGAUGGCAGCAGGCGCGCAAAUUACCCAAUCCCGACACGGGGAGGUAGUGACAAUAAAUAACAAUACGGGGUUCUUUAGGAUCUCGUAAUUGGAAUGAGUACAAUUUAAAUCUCUUAACGAGGAACAAUUGGAGGGCAAGUCUGGUGCCAGCAGCCGCGGUAAUUCCAGCUCCAAUAGCGUAUAUUAAAGUUGUUGCAGUUAAAAAGCUCGUAGUUGAAUUUCGGGGUUAGUAGGUUGGUCAUGCCUCUGGUAUGUACUGGUCUCACUGAUUCCUCCUUCCUGAUGAGCCGUAAUGCCAUUAAUUUGGUGUUUUGGGGAAUUUGGACUGUUACUUUGAAAAAAUUAGAGUGUUUAAAGCAAGCUAACGCUUGAAUACAUUAGCAUGGAAUAAUGAAAUAGGACGUUCGAUCCUAUUUUGUUGGUUUCUAGGAUUGACGUAAUGAUUAAUAGGGAUAGUUGGGGGCAUUAGUAUUCAAUUGUCAGAGGUGAAAUUCUUGGAUUUAUUAAAGACUAACUACUGCGAAAGCAUUUGCCAAGGAUGUUUUCAUUAAUCAAGAACGAAAGUUAGGGGAUCGAAGACGAUCAGAUACCGUCGUAGUCUUAACCAUAAACUAUGCCGACUAGGGAUCGGAUGAUGUUAAUUUUUUAAUGACUCAUUCGGCGCCUUACGGGAAACCAAAGUGUUUGGGUUC
rnacentral:rRNA from 1 species